rnacentral:lncRNA from 1 species
GCAAGUCACACUGGCAUUAGGGGGAAGAGUAUUUGAGGUAGAGGAAACAAGGACAAAGACCUUGAGGGAGAAGUGUUCUUGGCACGUUCAAGUAGCUGCCUGGAGAGCAGCGGGUCUAAAGCAGAGUGAAUGAAGAGGCGGGUGAUAGGAGAUGAGGUCAGAUGAUAAGGAGUCUUGUGGCCAUUAUAAAAAGGACUGCCACUCACACUCUGAGUGAGAUAGAAAAGCUAUUGGAGGUUUUGAGCAGAGGAGUAAAAUUAUCUGACUUGUGGCUGCUAGAUAGGGAAUAGACAAUCUGUAGGAGUAACAGAGAGGACAGGGACACAAAUAAGUAGAUAAAAGGCUGUUUUCAGUAAUCCAAGGUUUUAAGCCUGAGUAACUGGAAGAAUGGUGCUCUCAUUUGUUGAGAUGAGAAAGACAAGAGGAACAAAUUGGGAGCUUGGGUGUUAGACGUUUUAAAUUGGAGAUCCCUAUUUAACAUCCAGCGGGGCAUGUCAAGUAGGCAAUUGGUGGAUAGAUCAACUAGAGUCCAGUGGGGAGAUCUGGGCAGGAGAUAGAAGUUUGGAAAUUAUUACAUCAUCAGCAUACAGGUAGUAAUUAAAGCCAUGAGACUUGAAUAAGUAACUAGAGGGAACGAGUAGAGAUGGAAAAGAACCAGAGACUGAGGUGGGGACACCCCAGCGUGUUAGAGGUCGGGGAGAUUGGGAAGAAGAAUGAGCAAAGAAACCACCAGUGUGAUCAGAGGAGGAAAGCAAAGCAGAGUCCUGUCCUGAAAACCAAAUGAAGAAACGGCCUCAGAAAGGCAGGAAUAAGCACCUGUGUCACACGCUGCUGGAGUGGGUCUCAGAAAAUGAGGACUGAGGAUUGACCUUUGGAAUUUGCAGUAUAGAGACUAUUGAUGACUUUGGCAGGCACUUUGGUAGAAUGCCCUUAGACUAAAGCCUUUUGAGCAUGGGUUAAAGAGAGUUUGGGAGGAGAAAAAUUGGAGACAGUGAG